AUCCGCUCAGGCCAAUCAACAGAAGUGACGCGAGCACGAGCACACAUCCCCUCCCUUCUUCGGUUAUUCCUCGCCGCGUGCCCUCGCCGCAGACCUCUGCCAUGGCGGACCAGCUCACCGACGAGCAGAUCGCGGAGUUCAAGGAGGCCUUCAGCCUCUUCGAUAAGGAUGGCGACGGUACCCACCUGGCCCCCUCCCUUUUCCUCCCUGCUAGGCUCCUUGAUCUCGCGGCCGGAUCGGGAUCGAGCUCCCGUCCCGCCCCGAUACAGCACGAAUUGUGGGGUUCGUGUAGGAGCUGUUGCUGGCUGCAUCACUACCAAGGAGCUUGGAACGGUGAUGCGCUCCCUUGGCCAGAACCCUACCGAGGCAGAGCUGCAGGACAUGAUCAACGAGGUCGAUGCGGAUGGCAAUGGGACCAUCGACUUCCCGGAGUUCCUGAACCUGAUGGCGAGGAAGAUGAAGGACACGGACUCAGAGGAGGAGCUCAAGGAGGCCUUCCGCGUCUUCGACAAGGACCAGAACGGUUUCAUCUCGGCUGCCGAGCUCCGCCAUGUCAUGACCAACCUUGGCGAGAAGCUGACCGACGAGGAGGUCGACGAGAUGAUCCGUGAGGCCGACGUCGACGGCGACGGCCAGAUCAACUACGAGGAGUUCGUCAAGGUUAUGAUGGCCAAGUGAGGAGCGGUCCCCGUGAAAUAAGUAUCUAUGGAUUGAAGCGAAUUAUCAGGCACACAAGCUGUACUUUGUCAUGUCCCUUUGAGUACGCAUCAGUGUCAUGCAGGUGGUAAUGUCUUGUAGUGGUCCGUUUAGGCGGUGUAGUCAUGGGAACGCGACAUCAGAUACCUGGUUUCUUUUUAUUGUGAUGUUAUCUUGCAUUAUUGCACCUGUAGGAUUUGUUGAAGCUCA